rnacentral:rRNA from 1 species
AGUGAACGCUGGCGGCAGGCCUAACACAUGCAAGUCGAGCGGCAGCGCGUCCGACCACCCUCGGGUGGUCGGAUGGCGGCGAGCGGCGGACGGGUGAGGAAUGCAUCGGAAUCUGCCUCGUUGUGGGGGAUAACGUAGGGAAACUUACGCUAAUACCGCAUACGACCUACGGGUGAAAGUGGGGGACCGUUCGGGCCUCACGCGAUGAGAUGAGCCGAUGCCGGAUUAGCUAGUUGGCGGGGUAAAGGGCCCACUAAGGCGACGAUCCGUAGCUGGUCUGAGAGGAUGAUCAGCCACACUGGAACUGAGACACGGUCCAGACUCCUACGGGAGGCAGCAGUGGGGGAAUAUUGGACAAUGGGGGGCGAACCCUGAUCCAGCCAUGCCGCGUGUGUGAAGAAGGCC